UGCGUAGGCGGCUUUUUAAGUCGGAUGUGAAAUCCCUGAGCUUAACUUAGGAAUUGCAUUCGAUACUGGGAAGCUAGAGUAUGGGAGAGGAUGGUAGAAUUCCAGGUGUAGCGGUGAAAUGCGUAGAGAUCUGGAGGAAUACCGAUGGCGAAGGCAGCCAUCUGGCCUAAUACUGACGCUGAGUACGAAGCAGUGGGGAGACAAACGA
rnacentral:rRNA from 1 species